rnacentral:rRNA from 1 species
GAUGAACGCUAGCGGCAGGCUUAACACAUGCAAGUCGAGGGGGUAUAGUUCUUCGGAACUAGAGACCGGCGCACGGGUGCGUAACGCGUAUGCAAUCUACCUUUCACAAAGGGAUAGCCCAGAGAAAUUUGGAUUAAUACCUUAUAGUAAUACGACUUGGCAUCAAGAUGUAUUAAAGAUUUAUCGGUGAAGAUGAGCAUGCGUCCCAUUAGCUUGUUGGUAAGGUAACGGCUUAACCAAGGCAACGAUGGGUAGGGUCCUGAGAGGGAGAUCCCCACACUGGUACUGAGACACGGACCAGACUCCACGGAGGCAGNAGUGAGGAAUAUUAGGGACAAUAGGGCGCAAG